UCCCAGCUGGCUCAGACCAGUAAAGAAUUUGCUUGCAAUGCAUGAGACUCAGGUUCGAUCCCUGGGUCGGGAA
rnacentral:tRNA from 1 species